rnacentral:rRNA from 1 species
AGAGUUUGAUCCUGGCUCAGAGCGAACGCUGGCGGCGUGCCUAACACAUGCAAGUCGAACGUGAACGGGGGCAACCCCUAGUAAAGUGGCGUACGGGUGAGUAACGCGUAGGUUAUCUACCCCAGAGUCCGGAAUAACCGGCCGAAAGGCUGGCUAAUACGGGAUAGAGCGAGGGAAUCCGUAAUGGGAUUUUUCGGGAAAGGGAGCGGGUCAAACCGCCUUCGCUCUGGGAUGAGCCUGCGUCUCAUUAGCUAGUUGGUAGGGUAAUGGCCUACCAAGGCUGGGAUGGGUAGCUGGUCUGAGAGGAUGAUCAGCCACACUGGAACUGAAACACGGUCCAGACUCCUACGGGAGGCAGCAGUGGGGAAUCUUGCGCAAUGGACGAAAGUCUGACGCAGCCACGCCGCGUGAGUGAAGAAGGCCUUCGGGUUGUAAAGCUCUGUCGGGAGGGACGAACGGUCUUUGGGUGAAUAGCCCAGAGAAUUGACGGUACCUCUAGAGGAAGCACCGGCUAACUCCGUGCCAGCAGCCGCGGUAAUAC